rnacentral:rRNA from 1 species
ACGGGAGGCAGCAGCUAAGAGUAUUGGGCAAUGGGGGAAACCCUGACCCAGCCAUGCCGCGUGAAUGAAGAAGGCCUUCGGGUUGUAAAGUUCUUUUAGUCGUGAAGAUGAUGACAGUAACGACAGAAAAAGCACCGGCUAACUUCGUGCCAGCAGCCGCGGUAAUACGAAGGGUGCAAGCGUUGUUCGGAUUUACUGGGCGUAAAGCGUCCGUAGGUGGUUUGUUAAGUCAGGGGUGAAAUCCCAGGGCCCAACCCUGGAACUGCCUUUGAUACUGGCAAGCUGGAGCGCGAUAGAGGAAGAUGGAACAUCUGGUGUAGGGGUGAAAUCCGUAGAUAUCAGAUAGAACACCAAUGGCGAAGGCAGUCUUCUGGAUCGAUACUGACACUGAGAGACGAAAGCGUGGGUAGCAAACAGGAUUAGAUACCCUGGUA